rfam:Ochotona princeps cont2.662449, whole genome shotgun sequence.
GCUGCUAAAGGGCUGGUGUAGUUACAGAGAAACCAGUUUUCUUCAGAGAGC